rnacentral:rRNA from 1 species
AUUGAACGCUGGCGACAGGCCUAACACAUGCAAGUCGAACGAGUGGCGGACGGGUGAGUAAUGUCUGGGAAACUGCCCGAUGGAGGGGGAUAACUACUGGUAACGGUAGCUAAUACCGCAUAUCAUCGGAUGUGCCCAGAUGGGAUUAGCUAGUUGGUGGGGUAAUGGAUCACCUAGGCGACGAUCCCUAGCUGGUCUGAGAGGAUGACCAGCAACACUGGAACUGAGACACGGUCCAGACUCCUACGGGAGGCAGCAGUGGGGAAUAUUGCACAAUGGGCGAAAGCCUGAUGGAGCCAUGCCGAGUGUAUGAAGAAGGCCUUCGGGUAGUAAAGUACUUUCGGGUGGGAGGCGGUACCCGCAGAAGAAGCACCGGCUAACUCCGUGCCAGCAGCCGCGGUAAUUC